UAUCAGUCAUCCCGAACCCUUCCAGCCGUCUUCCCCUGUAGUUGACCUGGCGUUACAAAAGACCAAACAAUGCUUCAUGGAAACAAUAACUUUUUUUAGGAUUAGUUUUGGAUAACCUCACAAGUGAUGAAAAUGUUGAAGAGCUUGCUGACCAAGAAAGAAAAUUGCCUGGAUCAUACUUACAAGAAAGUUUGUAAUUUUUGAACAGUGUCAGCGAGGGGUCCCUAAAAACGGUAGAAGACAGUCAAAAUAAAGAAAACAUAAACGAUUCUGGUGGGUUUAUUGUGCUACUAAAACAGUUUGCUUUCUUCCCAUCUCUCGGAAUAAACAAGUCAUUCUGGAUUCUUAAUAAAGCAAAAUCCUUUUGCUAUGUAAUAAAUCCCUCAUUGACCAAGCUUUUUCCGUCAAGAUCAUUGGAUAUUAGCCUCGAUCUUUUUUUCUGUUCUUACAAACCUUGACUUCAUCUCAGUCCAUAAAAAUGUAAAAAGAACUCAGCUGACAUCCAGCCAUCUUGACCUCAUUCUGGGUGAAUAACGCAUAUAUAUUGCGCAGGAUGCAGCUGGGAGCAGAGUCUCUACUUUUUCAGUUUAAGAUAACAUGAAUUAUUUCUUUCCUCCUAUGUUUCCUGAAAGAUUGUGUUAGUUCGAAGUAAAAUGUAUUUGAACAUUUA